GAGUUUGAUCAUGGCUCAGAUUGAACGCUGGCGGCAUGCCUUACACAUGCAAGUCGAACGGCAGCACGGGAGCUUGCUCCUGGUGGCGAGUGGCGAACGGGUGAGUAAUGCAUCGGAACGUAUCCUGGAGUGGGGGAUAACGUAGCGAAAGUUACGCUAAUACCGCAUAUUCUGUGAGCAGGAAAGCGGGGGACCUUCGGGCCUCGCGCUCUUGGAGCGGCCGAUGUCGGAUUAGCUAGUUGGUGAGGUAAAGGCUCACCAAGGCGACGAUCCGUAGCAGGUCUGAGAGGAUGAUCUGCCACACUGGAACUGAGACACGGUCCAGACUCCUACGGGAGGCAGCAGUGGGGAAUUUUGGACAAUGGGGGCAACCCUGAUCCAGCCAUGCCGCGUGAGUGAAGAAGGCCUCGGUUGGUAAGUACGUCUUUCGU
rnacentral:rRNA from 1 species